AGAUGCUGCGUUCAAAACCCUUAUCAGCUUAUCAAAGAUCAAGAUUUGAGGCUGUUUCGUUUUGAUCGAUUCUCUCAACAAAUCACCAAAUGUCAGUCAUAAGAGCGUGGACAGCACGUGUACUAAUACAGGGGAGAGUGACCUGGUUGGUCUCCAUCCAGCGGGUGGCCUCCUGUAUGAGAUUAAACUCGACGAAGGCGAAUCCUCGGCUCUGACCUGGACACCGCCCAGCGCCAUGGUAACCGAACAACAACAACAA